AUGUGGGUGGCUGAGAAGGGCACUAGGGUGGGGGUGGCUGGAGGAAUUUUAAGUGCUGUGAUGAAAUGGGCACCCUUCUCUGCCCUCCAUCGCCAAGCCCUACACCUCUGCGAAGACUGUGACACACAAAGUCCUGUGUCAACGGUUGUGCCAGGUAGAGACAAAGUCGCUGGAAUUGCAGCCGCCUGGUACCUCUGGAGCAUCUGGGUCCCUGGAGGGCAGAGCUGUCUUGAACUGCUUGCAAAGGAGUCUGUGCCCGCAGAGAGAGCCUGCUCCAGCCUCUUUGCUACAGCCUUGAGUCUUCUGCUGAAGCUGGAAGCCAUGGAAACUUUUCAGCAGGGGAAUGACAAUAACAAGACAGACUUGGAGACAGAAAGCCUGGAUUUGGGGGCAUUGUAAUUGAGCGCCAGUAUCAUGAAAAUAAAAUAAACAAUAACAACAAAAACUGCUGAGACUAUGGAGACUGAUUUGUUAUGGGAAGGGAAAGAAAGUGAUGUCAAAGAUGCCACCAGGGGUUGGACUAAUAGAGACCAGGGCUACCCAAAGACACGAGGAGGGGCUGCUGGUCAGGAGGGAGGGUUGUGAGUUUUGUUUUGCCUGUUUGAGUUUAAGAACAUGAUGAGAAACCCAAGUGCAGCUCAACAGUGGGGCUGCUGCCUGAGCCCCUGGAGACUAAAUCCGCUUAGAGGUGAUGAUUGAAAGAAAGUGUGAGCCUGGAAAAAUGUUCUCUUAGAGAAAGCGUGAAGAAAGGAGAGCGGGGGCCCAAGACUGGGCCUUGGACUGGAGGCUGAAGAGGAACCUGUGAAGGAAACAGAAUGUUCCCAGCCAAGGGCUCCCUGGUCCUGCAGGAUGCCUUGCUGCCUGCUGCCCAGGGCACAGCAACCAUUGCUACCAAAACAGUGCCAGCUCCAGCUUGCGGCAGAGAGAAGUGAUGCAGGCCUGGAGGCCAGCAGCAAUGUUGACAUGAUGUGCUACAUUAUUCGACCUACCC
rnacentral:lncRNA from 1 species